rnacentral:rRNA from 1 species
GAUGAACGCUGGCGGCGUGCCUAAUACAUGCAAGUCGAGCGAACAGACGAGGAUCUUGCUCCUCUGACGUUAGCGGCGGACGGGUGAUUAACACGUGGAUAACCUCCCUAUAAUACUGGGAUAACUUCUGGAAACCGGAGCUAAUACCGGAGAAUAUAUUGAACCGCAUGGUGCGAUAGGGAAAGACGGUUUUUCUUUCACUUAUGGAUGGAUCCGCGCCGCAUGAGCUAGUUGGUAAGGGAACGGCUUACCAAGGCAACGAUGCGUAGCCGUCCUCAGAGGGUGAUCGGCCACACUGGAACUGAGACACGGGCCAGACUCCUACGGGAGGCAGCAGUAGGGAAUCUUCCGCAAUGGGCGAAAGCCUGACGGAGCAACGCCGCGUGAGUGAUGAAGGUCUUCGGAUCGUAAAACUCUGUUAUUCGGGAAGAACAAAUGUGUAAGUAACUAUGCACGUCUUGACGGUACCUAAGCAGAAAGCCACGGCUAACUACGU